UACGUAGGAGGCAAGCGUUGUCCGGAAUUACUGGGCGUAAAGCGCGUGUAGGUGGUGGGACAAGUCUGCUGUGAAAGCGCCUGGCUUAACCGGGCGAGGUCGGCGGAAACUGUCCGACUCGAGGACGGUAGAGGGGGGUGGAAUUCCCGGUGUAGUGGUGAAAUGCGUAGAGAUCGGGAGGAACACCUGUGGCGAAGGCGGCCCCCUGGGCCGGCCCUGACACUAAAGCGCGACAGCAUGGGGAGCAAACGGG
rnacentral:rRNA from 1 species